rnacentral:rRNA from 1 species
CUAGUAACGGCGAGUGAAGCGGCUACAGCUCAAAUUUGAAAUCUGGCUCCCUCUGGGGGUCCGAGUUGUAAUUUGCAGAGGAUGCUUUGGCAUUGGCGGCGGUCUAAGUUCCCUGGAACAGGACAUCGCAGAGGGUGAGAAUCCCGUACGUGGGCGCCUGCCUUUGCCGUGUAAAGCUCCUUCGACGAGUCGAGUUGUUUGGGAAUGCAGCUCUAAAUGGGAGGUAAAUUUCUCCUAAAGCUAAAUACCGGCCAGAGACCGAUAGCGCACAAGUAGAGUGAUCGAAAGAUGAAAAGUACUUUGGAAAGAGAGUAAAAUAGCACGUGAAAUUGUUGAAAGGGAAGCGCUUGCAGCCAGACUUGCCCGCAGUUGCUCACCCAGGCUCCCGCCUGGGGCACUCUUCUGCGGGCAGGCCAGCAUCAGUUUGGGCGGUCGGAUAAAGGCCUCUGUCACGUACCACCCCUCGGGGUGGCCUUAUAGGGGAGGCGCAAUGCGACCAGCCCGGACUGAGGUCCGCGCAUCUGCUAGGAUGCUGGCGUAAUGGCUGUAAGCGGCCCGUCUUGAAACACGGACCAAGGAGUCUAACAUCUAUGCGAGUGUUUGGGUGUCAAGCCCGGGCGCGCAAUGAAAGUGAACGGAGGUGGGAACCCCUCGGGGCGCACCAUCGACCGAUCCUGAUGUCUUCGGAUGGAUUUGAGUAAGAGCAUAGCUGUUGGGACCCGAAAGAUGGUGAACUAUGCUUGAAUAGGGUGAAGCCAGAGGAAACUCUGGUGGAGGCUCGCAGCGGUUCUGACGUGCAAAUCGAUCGUCAAAUUUGGGCAUAGGGGCGAAAGACUAAUCG